AUUACGGGGCGCAGCAGGCGCGAAAACUUCACACUGGGGGCAACCCCGAUGAGGGAAUUCCUAGUGCUAGGACAUUUGUUCUAGCUUUUCUCUAGCGUAGAUAACUAGAGGAAUAAGGGCCGGGUAAGACGGGUGCCAGCCGCCGCGGUAAUACAAU
rnacentral:rRNA from 1 species